UACGUAGGGGGCAAGCGUUGUCCGGAUUUAUUGGGCGUAAAGAGCGUGUAGGCGGUCAGGUAGGUCCGUUGUGAAAACUCGAGGCUCAACCUCGAGACGCCGAUGGAAACCAUCUGACUAGAGUCCGGAAGAGGAGAGUGGAAUUCCUGGUGUAGCGGUGAAAUGCGCAGAUAUCAGGAAGAACACCCGUGGCUAAGGCGGCUCUCUAGUACGGUACUGACGCUGAGACGCGAAAGCGUGGGGAGCGAACAGGAUUAGAUACCGUGUG
rnacentral:rRNA from 1 species